rnacentral:lncRNA from 1 species
GGAAUGUGCCCCCCGCCCGCCCUGCUGCUGACGCCGGGCCUUUGUGCUGGGCCGGAAUGUCUUCCUGUCUUUCUCUGCCUGUGUUUUCCCCGGAUGCUGUGGGCUGAGCUGAGUUGCAUCCCAGGGGCCGCCUGGCCAAGAGCUGUGUCCGGCGUCCCAGGGGCGGGAGGAGGGGGGCAGCACCGGCUCCAGGCGAGCUGUGAUUUAAUAAGCAGACACUUAAGGCCCUGAUGCAGGGCCCAGCCCAUGCGGGACAGCCCUCUCCGCUAAUUGUCCAUUGGCUGCCGCCCGCCGUCCUGCCGGCGUCUCUGGGCUCAUUAGGAAAGGGAAGAGGGGGGUCUGGGAAGAGCCUCCUGCAGCUCCAGCGGGCUUCCGAGAUUUUUAUCACACUGGACAGCACAGUUACAUUCAUUCUGCUAAAGGAGGAUCAAAACAAGAGGUCAGCAAACUAUGGCCCAUGGAUCCAGUGCGGCCCACCACCUACUUUCACAGAGUGCAGAGGGUAAGAAUGGCUUUACAUUUUAAAUGGUUGGGGGGAAAAAGCGGAAGAAUGUUUUGCGGCAUGUGAAAAUUAUAUGAAAUUCAAAUUUCAGUGUCUGUAGGUAACGUCUGAUUGAAAGUCAGCCACACCCAUUCAUUUGUAUAUUGUCUAUGGUUGCUUUCACUGCAGUAAC